GCAACUAAUCACUUUCUUUUUUUAGCAAAAACUAAUCACUUUCUUACCUCUCAAAGUUCCCUGACAAGACGGAAAUGUCACUGAUGAUAAACAGCAAUUGCAUAAAUGUAAUGUGCAAUACAAGUAACAUCAAAUUGUUGGCUUAAUUCUAUGAUUCUGUGUGCUGCUAAGUCAAAUCCCCUGUAGCCUAAUAUAAACUGACAGACUACCUUCACUUCAGUAGGCGAAAAAAAAAUGAUUAAACAAUUACAAUAGCCAGCCAUGGAUCUAAACCUGGGAACCUGACAAAAUUAAAAAUUCCAUGUAAGUCCCUAGGCAAAGAGACUGAAACUGCUUGUUACCUGGAUUCCUCCCAAUGAGGGGUCAAAUAAGGAAGGUGAAGGUAAUUAUAGGCGCACUCCCACCUCCUGCAAGCUACUUUACACAAUUUACAGACACAGCUGAGAUUAUUGCCCAUGGUAACACACUUAAAAAUGUUCAUGCUUAAUGCGUGCUUUUAUAAUUCCAGGAAUAGGCGGUGAGGUGGGUGGCCUAACUGGUGUGUUUGUUCCUGGGGAAGGAAGGAUUUGUUGUUGGAACAUGUUGGACAUGCUAGAACCUUCACCUCCAUCAGUAGCUUGAUUGGAUGCCAUAUCAUCACUCUGUGGUCUCUCGCAAAAUUUCAUUGCCUUAAGAACGUAAUUAUCAUCAUGCAGCUCAAAAGGAGUGCUAUUAAAGUCAAAAUGCACCAGCUGCAUAUCUUCUGAUAUUUCCACUUCAACAGUUGCAUGAGGGCGUGUCUGAACCAAAAUAAAGGGUAAGGACACACCCCCACUGGGAGUGUUUUCUGAGCUGUAUAGUUGCUCAUUUCGAUGUAUCAGGUUCUGAAGACCUACGUAUUGUUCCUCCAGUUCCUGCAAAUAGGCAGUUUUCUUCUCAAUUCUAUUUCUCAAUCCAAGACGCUCAGCCUUUAAUUCUUCAAUAUCACUCAGGCUGGUUCGAGGAAGACCUUUCCAUUGUAUUUCCUUUUUAUCCUUAGAUAUGAUAUCCAAUGCCAUGAGUACAUUCAGGGCAUCAUAUACUCUUCGCCGUAUGUUUUUCUCAUCAUAUUGUUGCUGCUUCAACAAAUGGAAAGGGACACCCACAUCAUUUAGUUGCACAUUUGACUCUAUGAAAAAGGGCAUAUCAUAUGCAUUAAAAUAAGCCAACGAAAUAAUUAUCACUCAAUUAUACAUAACCUGAUCUGGAGAUGAAACGCUGUUGCUAGGGUCAGCAAACUCAGCUACGAGUUCAUCUGCAACCUCAUUGUAAGUAGUUGUUCCUUUGCUUUCCACUUUUUCGCACACUUUCAUACUAAAUUGGCGGAGUCCUCUACCACUCUUAUCAGCUCCAGCUGCUCGCUGACCUCUCUUUUUCUUCUUAUUAGCAGCUGCAUCUUGGGUGGCCGCAUCGUCGGUGUGAAUGUCAAGAUGGUUCAACCUAAGAAAAGUGCUGUCACUGGCGGGCGUGGCCAUGGCCUGGUCGCUCCGGCUAGAAGGGGAACCAACGCUGCCGCUGGUUGAAACCGAUUGACCGGAGACAGUGGUGGUGCCCCAAGACCUGGUGGUACCAGCUCUAGAAACGGUGGCAGCGGGACGGCGGUGGUUUUUGUCCCCAUCAUCCCGGUGGGACCCACCAGUGACCAUUACAGAAAAAAGAAAGAAAAAUCAGAGUGGAAGAGUGGAUAAAGGUAGCGGUGGUAUUGGUUGAUGGGUUUUGGGGGGGUGGUGGAGUAGUGGAGGUUAUGGAUUGAAAUUGAAGAGAUUGGUGAUCUGAGAAAGUGGGGAAGGAAGACAAUAGAGAGAAGGUGGUUGUGCUAUUGUUUUCUUUGUUUGAGCUCUUGGAAAAGAGGGAAAUUUGAGGGUUUAGAAGAGUCUGUUUGCUACUUCUUG
rnacentral:misc_RNA from 1 species